rnacentral:lncRNA from 1 species
UCCUUCUCGAUAUUUAAACCCCUUUCCCAUAUCUCAAUCUUGAUCUCUCUCCUUUGCAAUAAUCUUCGCAUUCUUUGUCCCCUUCCUGGUUCCAAUGGUUUCUUCCUGGGACACAUUUUUAGCAUGAGGUAAAUGAUGAAGCACCCAUCAAGCAACAUGAUCAAUGCCAUAUCUUGGGCAUUCAGUUUGGAGAAUUCCUGAGAGUAGCAGCUCCGGACCUCCUCAUCCAGAUACUUCAACAUCGACAAGCAGGAGUCGAACAAUUCACUUGCAUCCUUUUGACUUUGAUGACGCGAGUCACGCGAUAGAAGGUGCCGG